UUUGAGAAAAACUAAGAUUAAACAUCCUACAUGUUUCCAGGAAAAAGGAAAAACAUUGGAAAACAAUUUUAGCCUAAGGUUUGAGAAUAAAGCCAAUGGUCCUCUAUUAAGGCUAACUGUGUAUAUUGCCUUUGUGGACUGCAAGCUGAACUUACAGAUUUAUAUGGACUUUACUUACAGGUUUCCUGUGCUGUUUUGCUCCAUUUUACUGAACAAAAUAAGGCUGAGGUAGCACCAUCCUUGUGGUUAGAGUGAAAGAAUGUGGGUAUUGAGACCAAAAUAAACAAUGUGCCAUUCUGGACAAACAGCUGUGGACAAUAUAUGCAGUCAGAGUAGCCUAUUUUCUCACACAGACCUGAAGAUAAGAUUUCCAGUUUAAAAGUGAAGAAAAUGAAUCAUUAUUAACAGCAAUUAGGAGUAUUUCUCAGCUGAAAAGCCAGGUGAAACUAUAAGGUCACUAUGAUUUACUUUCAUAUUAUCAUUCUUUUCAGAUUUUUUUCCCUGUGGUUUUUUUUGUUAGAUGAGGAGCAACCAGUAAGAAAAAGCAAAAAUAUGUUUUGAUGUUGCCUGAGGCACCUUAUUUUCCAUUUCAUGCACAAUCACAAAUGCAGCACAUCAAUCAAUUUCUUCCAACCAGCGAAUCAAGAAAUCUUGGAGUGGAGAAUCAUUCUGAAAGUAGACCAAAUCCAGGACAUCAUCACAGCAGUGGUCGGAAAAAUGCAGCAAGCCAAGCUGACUUUCAAAAGAUGAUUCGUUAUCUGUUUCUUCAGAGGGGAGGCAGUUUGGGAGAUGGGAAUUAGGACGAUGCUACAGUUACACAGGGCAAAUUUCAGCAGCUCAGGUUCAAAC